GCUGUAAGCUCAGUGGAAGAGCCUCUGCUUUAUAUGCAGAAGGUCCUGGGUUCAAUCCCCAGCAUGUCCA